CAGAUACUCCCUCUGUCCGGAAAUACUUGUCCUAGAAAUGAAUAAAAUGGAUGUAUCUAUAACUAAAAUAAGUCUAGAUACAACCAUUUUGAGGACAAGUAUUUCCAGACCGAGGGAGUACCAC
rnacentral:pre_miRNA from 1 species